rnacentral:rRNA from 1 species
GCAGUCGAACGGUCUGGUUAGUUAGCUUGCUUUCUGGCCGGAUAGUGGCGAACGGGUGAGUAAUACGUAAGUAACCUGCCCCUAAGUGGGGGAUAACCCCGGGAAACCGGAGCUAAUACCGCAUGUGGUAGUGGGGUGGAUGCUCCACUACUAAAGCCUUAGGGCGCUUGGGGAGGGGCUUGCGUCCGAUUAGCUAGUUGGUAGGGUAACGGUCUACCAAGGCGAUGAUCGGUAGCUGGUUUGAGAGGACGACCAGCCACACUGGGACUGAGACACGGCCCAGACUCCUACGGGAGGCAGCAGCAAGGAAUAUUGCGCAAUGGGCGAAAGCCUGACGCAGCGACGCCGCGUGGGGGAUGAAGGCCUUCGGGUUGUAAACCCCUUUUAUCAGGGAAGAAUAAUGACGGUACCUGAGGAAUAAGUCUCGGCUAACUACGUGCCAGCAGCCGCGGUAAUACGUAGGAGGCGAGCGUUAUCCGGAUUUACUGGGCGUAAAGAGCGCGUAGGUGGCUUUUCAAGUCGGAUGUAAAAUCUCCCGGCUUAACUGGGAGGGACCAUUCGAUACUGUUGGGCUAGAGGGCAGCAGAGGGAGAUGGAAUUCCCGGUGUAGUGGUGAAAUGCGUAGAUAUCGGGAGGAACACCAGUGGCGAAGGCGAUCUCCUGGGCUGUACCUGACACUGAGGCGCGAAAGCGUGGGGAGCGAACAGGAUUAGAUACCCUGGUAGUCCACGCCGUCAACGAUGGACACUGG